rnacentral:rRNA from 1 species
UACGUAGGGUGCGAGCGUUGUCCGGAAUUAUUGGGCGUAAAGAGCUCGUAGGCGGUCUGUCGCGUCGGAUGUGAAAACUCGGGGCUCAACCCCGAGCCUGCAUUCGAUACGGGCAGACUAGAGUUCGGUAGGGGAGACUGGAAUUCCUGGUGUAGCGGUGAAAUGCGCAGAUAUCAGGAGGAACACCGGUGGCGAAGGCGGGUCUCUGGGCAAUAACUGACGCUGAUGCGCGAAAGCCAGGGGAGCGAACGGG